CGGCUUUCUUCUCGUCGGUGUUCCCGGCUGCUAUAGAGCCGGGUGAGAGAGCGAGCGCCCGUCGGCGGGUGUCGAGGGCGGGUUGCCUCGCGCUGACCCUUCCCGCCCUCCUUCUCGUCACACACCAGGUCCCCGCGGAAGCCGCGGUGUCGGCGCCAUGGCGGAGCUGACGGCUCUUGAGAGUCUCAUCGAGAUGGGUUUCCCCAGGGGACGCGCGGAGAAGGCUCUGGCCCUCACAGGGAACCAGGGCAUCGAGGCUGCGAUGGACUGGCUGAUGGAGCACGAAGACGACCCCGAUGUGGACGAGCCUUUAGAGACUCCCCUUGGACAUAUCCUGGGACGGGAGCCCACUUCCUCAGAGCAAGGCGGCCUUGAAGGAUCUGGUUCUGCUGCCGGAGAAGGCAAACCCGUUUUGAGUGAAGAGGAAAGACAGGAACAAACUAAGAGGAUGUUGGAGCUGGUGGCCCAGAAGCAGCGGGAGCGUGAAGAAAGAGAGGAACGGGAGGCAUUGGAACGGGAACGGCAGCGCAGGAGACAAGGGCAAGAGUUGUCAGCAGCACGACAGCGGCUACAGGAAGAUGAGAUGCGCCGGGCUGCUGAGGAGAGGCGGAGGGAAAAGGCCGAGGAGUUAGCAGCCAGACAAAGAGUUAGAGAAAAGAUCGAGAGGGACAAAGCAGAGAGAGCCAAGAAGCCAGGAGCCUCCCACCAAGCGGGAGUAUGACCAGUGUCGCAUACAGGUCAGGCUGCCAGAUGGGACCUCACU
rnacentral:sRNA from 1 species